ACCUCAAAUCAGGUAAGAAUACCCGCUGAACUUAAGCAUAUCAAUAAGCGGAGGAAAAGAAAAUAACAAUGAUUCCCUCAGUAACGGCGAGCGAAGAGGGAUAAGCUCAAAUUUUAAAUCUGCUGGGUUUCACCUAACAGAGUUGUAUUUUGAAGAAACGUUUUCUGCGUCCCGGGUUAGCCUAAGUCCUUUGGGAUAAGGUAUCAUGGAGGGUGAGAAUCCCGUUCAUGGUUAAUCUUGAGGAUGCUCUACGAUACGUUUUCCAAGAGUCGAGUUGUUUGGGAUUGCAGCUCAAAAUGGGAGGUAAAUUUCUCCUAAGGCUAAAUAUUGGCGAGAGACCGAUAGCGAACAAGUACCGUGAGGGAAAGAUGAAAAGAACUUUGAAAAGAGAGUUAAACAGUACGUGAAAUUGUUGAAAGGGAAACGAUUGAAGUCAGUCAUACCAACGGGAAAUCAACCUUUUGAGCUUUGUAUCGUGGGUUCGAAGAGUUUAAACGCCUUCGGGUUCGCGAGAUUGGGAUCUUCUGGUGUACUUUCUCGUACGGUUAGUCAACAUCGGUUUUGAAUGUCAUAAAAUGACUGGAGGAAUGUGGCUUCGAUCUCGUAUCGAAGUGUUAUAGCCUUUGGUAGAUGUGAUGUUUGAGACCGAGGAUUGCAACGGAUACCCUUUAAGGGCUAUUCGUCUGAUCUCUGAUACGUUACCUUGAUGUUGAAAGCUUGCUUAUGAUGUUAGGGUAUUACGGUCAAAAGGUUAGAACGGAUUAAAUUCGUUAAGGAUGUUGACGUAAUGACUUUAAACGACCCGUCUUGAAACACGGACCAAGGAGUCUAACAUAUAUGCGAGUGUUUGGGUGGUUAAACCCUUGCGCGUAAUGAAAGUGAUUUUGGUGAGAUCCGGGAAAAAUUUUUCGGAGCAUCAUCGACCGAUCAGGAUAUUUUUUGAUAGAUUUGAGUGAGAGCAUAUCUGCUAGGACCCGAAAGAUGGUGAACUAUGCCUGAAUAGGGCGAAGCCAGAGGAAACUCUGGU
rnacentral:rRNA from 2 species